CACAUGUACUAUUUGUUGAACAAUUAUAACACUACCAUCUUCUAAACCGCAACAAUUAUUAUCACCAUUUCGCAAAAUUGUAGAGUCAAUUAUAAUACAGUUGCAUAAUGAUGCAACACUACUGGGAAUAAAAAAGUGUAUUAUAGACUGGCUAAGACAUGCCAAA